GACGAACCCUGGCGGCGUGCCUAAUACAUGCAAGUUGAGCGAUGAAGAUUGGUGCUUGCACCAAUUUGAAGAGCAGCGAACGGGUGAGUAACGCGUGGGGAAUCUGCCUUUGAGCGGGGGACAACAUUUGGAAACGAAUGCUAAUACCGCAUAACAACUUUAAACAUAAGUUUUAAGUUUGAAAGAUGCAAUUGCAUCACUCAAAGAUGAUCCCGCGUUGUAUUAGCUAGUUGGUGAGGUAAAGGCUCACCAAGGCGAUGAUACAUAGCCGACCUGAGAGGGUGAUCGGCCACAUUGGGACUGAGACACGGCCCAAACUCCUACGGGAGGCAGCAGUAGGGAAUCUUCGGCAAUGGACGAAAGUCUGACCGAGCAACGCCGCGUGAGUGAAGAAGGUUUUCGGAUCGUAAAACUCUGUUGGUAGAGAAGAACGUUGGUGAGAGUGGAAAGCUCAUCAAGUGACGGUAACUACCCAGAAAGGGACGGCUAACUACGUG
rnacentral:rRNA from 1 species